GAUGAACGCUGGCGGCGUGCCUAAUACAUGCAAGUCGAGCGAACGGACGAGAAGCUUGCUUCUCUGAUGUUAGCGGCGGACGGGUGAGUAACACGUGGAUAACCUACCUAUAAGACUGGGAUAACUUCGGGAAACCGGAGCUAAUACCGGAUAAUAUUUUGAACCGCAUGGUUCAAAAGUGAAAGACGGUCUUGCUGUCACUUAUAGAUGGAUCCGCGCUGCAUUAGCUAGUUGGUAAGGUAACGGCUUACCAAGGCAACGAUGCAUAGCCGACCUGAGAGGGUGAUCGGCCACACUGGAACUGAGACACGGUCCAGACUCCUACGGGAGGCAGCAGUAGGGAAUCUUCCGCAAUGGGCGAAAGCCUGACGGCGCAACGCCGCGUGAGUGAUGAAGGUCUUCGGAUCGUAAAACUCUGUUAUUAGGGAAGAACAUAUGUGUAAGUAACUGUGCACAUCUUGACGGUACCUAAUCAGAAAGCCACGGCUAACUACGUG
rnacentral:rRNA from 1 species